CGGUGCGCGCCGCGCUCUGGGACCCCAGGGGCUUCCUCUCUGGGCGGGUGUGCGGCUCGCGCCUCGGGGUGUGGACGGCGGCCCCGCCAGUGCGCGCCCCCGCGCUCCGCCGCCAGGCCAGAUAUGUUUCCUUCUUUUUGCCAUUCUCUACGUUGUUUCCUACUUCAUCAUCACAAGAUACAAGAGAAAAUCAGGCCGGAGAGCAGUGGGGCAAUCAUGGCUGACUGUAGCCUCGACCUCCUGGGCUCAAGUGAUUCUCCAACCUCAGCCUCCUGAGUAUCCUGCACUACAGAUGAACAAGAAGAUGAAGAUGCCAUCGUCAACAGGAUUUCGUUGUUUUUGAGCACGUUCACUCUCGCAGUGUCAGCUGGGGCUGUUUUGCUUUUACCCUUCUCAAUCAUCAGCAAUGAAAUCCUGCUUUCUUUUCCUCAGAACUACUAUAUUCAGUGGCUAAAUGGCUCCCUGAUUCAUGGUUAGU
rnacentral:lncRNA from 10 species